CCCUUAGAUGUUCUGGGCUGCACGCGCGCUACACUGAUGCGAUCAACAAGUUUUUCCUAUGUCGAUAGACACGGGUAAUCUUUUGAACUCGCAUCGUGAUGGGGAUAGAUUAUUGUAAUUAUUAAUCCUCAACGAGGAAUUCCUAGUAGGUGCAAAUCAUCAGUUUGCAUCGAUUACGUCCCUGCCCUUUGUACACACCGCCCGUCGCUGCUACCGAUUGGUUGAUCUGGUGAAUUAUUCGGACUGCCGGCUGAAGGGGUUUCCUCAUCUGCCAGCGGAAAGUCUUGUUAACCCUAUCAACUAGAGGAAGCAGAAGUCGUAACA
rnacentral:rRNA from 1 species